rnacentral:rRNA from 1 species
UACGUAGGGCGCAAGCGUUGUCCGGAAUUAUUGGGCGUAAAGAGCUCGUAGGCGGCCUGUUGCGUCCGCUGUGAAAUCCCGGGGCUCAACCCCGGGCGUGCAGUGGAUACGGGCUGGCUGGAGGCAGGCAGGGGAGAACGGAAUUCCUGGUGUAGCGGUGAAAUGCGCAGAUAUCAGGAGGAACACCGGUGGCGAAGGCGGGUCUCUGGGCAGUAACUGACGCUGAGGAGCGAAAGCGUGGGGAGCAAACAGG